UACGUAGGGUGCAAGCGUUAAUCGGAAUUACUGGGCGUAAAGCGUGCGCAGGCGGUUUUGUAAGUCUGUCGUGAAAGCCCCGGGCUUAACCUGGGAAUUGCGGUUGAAACUGGCGAACUAGAAUCUGGCAGAGGGAGGUAGAAUUCCACGUGUAGCGGUGAAAUGCGUGAGAUAUGUGGAGGAAUACCGAUGGCGAAGGCAGCCGUCCUGGGCCGAACAC
rnacentral:rRNA from 1 species